GCAAAUUUUGCUCUGUAGAUUCAGUAACAAAAAAAAAAAAAAAAAUGCAUUUAGAGAUCCUAGCAGGUCUGGGAUAUUAUCAUCUAUUUGUUUCCACUGGAUGCAUGCUACAUAACCAACAGCUCUAUAACUUGCUAUAGUAAUGGAAAAAUAAUUGUCUAAGUGAUGAAUUUUCUCCAAGAGGAAAAACGAGCAAGAGCAAGGAAACCUAACCAGGCCUGAACAAUAAAGUAGCAGGAGCAGAUGGUAGAGCCUUGUGAUGAGAAGGUAGAAUGUUAUUUUCCUUUGCGGUGUAGGCAUGGAAGAAGGGUCCCCAACCUUGGGAGCUGAAUUGCAGUGUAGAUGGAAGAAGCCAGCUGCAGCAGUCUUACUGGCCUUUGGUAAAGGAAGCAGCUUGUUCAAGUCCAACCAUUUUGUUUGUUUGCAUGUUCUGCAACUGCACAGCUUGGGCAAUACCAUCAGUUUAAAGGCAAUAUAUACUGUCUGCUCAUUAAAACUUGAGAAUUGGAAAGGCUUCCAAAUGGAUUUGCUUCUCAGAAGUAUCAGAAAAAUGCAGGGAAUUCAACGAUUUAAGGAAGAACACCUACAUCUUGUUAUUGUCAGCUAUGUCAUUACAGCUUACUGAAGUCCUUUAGAAAUGAAGUGGCUAAACAACCACUAGCUGAUCAUUCUGUUGGUAUAUGUCAGGCUUACAACUAUGUCAUGAACAUGCAAUGAUUUAAGAAAAAUGACAAGUGCAUAGGUACUUUGUUGAUAAAAGGUUUUUGUUUUUUUGUGUUUUUUUUUGUGGUUUUUUUUUUUUAAUAAAAAACA
rnacentral:lncRNA from 1 species